UACGAAGGGUGCUAGCGUUGUCCGGAAUUAUUGGGCGUAAAGAGCUCGUAGGCGGUUUGUUGCGUCGGCUGUGAAAACCUGGGGCUCAACCCCGGGCCUGCAGCCGAUACGGGCAAACUAGAAUUCGGUAGGGGAGACUGGAAUUCCUGGUGUAGCGGUGAAAUGCGCAGAUAUCAGGAGGAACACCGGUGGCGAAGGCGGGUCUCUGGGCCGAUAUUGACGCUGAGGAGCGAAAGCGUGGGGAGAGAACAGG
rnacentral:rRNA from 1 species